UACGAAGGGGGCUAGCGUUGUUCGGAAUCACUGGGCGUAAAGCGCACGUAGGCGGCUUGUUAAGUCAGGGGUGAAAUCCUGGAGCUCAACUCCAGAACUGCCUUUGAUACUGGCGAGCUUGAGUCCGGGAGAGGUGAGUGGAACUGCGAGUGUAGAGGUGAAAUUCGUAGAUAUUCGCAAGAACACCAGUGGCGAAGGCGGCUCACUGGCCCGGUACUGACGCUGAGGCACGAAAGCGUGGGGAGCAAACAGG
rnacentral:rRNA from 1 species